CUACGGGACGCAGCAGUGAGGAAUAUUGCACAAUGGGGGGAACCCUGAUGCAGCAACGCCGCGUGGAGGAUGACGCAUUUCGGUGUGUAAACUCCUUUUAUAUAUCAAGAAAAUGACGGUAACAUAUGAAUAAGCACCGGCUAACUCCGUGCCAGCAGCCGCGGUAAUACGGAGGGUGCAAGCGUUACUCGGAAUCACUGGGCGUAAAGGACGCGUAGGCGGGUUGGAAAGUCAGGUGUGAAAACCUACAGCUUAACUGUAGAACUGCACUUGAAACUUCUAAUCUAGAGUAUGGGAGGGGGAGAUGGAAUUAGUGGUGUAGGGGUAAAAUCCGUAGAUAUCACUAGGAAUACCUAAAGCGAAGGCGAUCUCCUGGAACAUUACUGACGCUAGGCGUGAAAGCGUGGGGAGCAAACAGGAUUAGAUACCCGGGUAGUC
rnacentral:rRNA from 1 species